UGGGGAAUAUUGCACAAUGGGCGCAAGCCUGAUGCAGCCAUGCCGCGUGUAUGAAGAAGGCCUUCGGGUUGUAAAGUACUUUCAGCGGGGAGGAAGGGAGUAAAGUUAAUACCUUUGCUCAUUGACGUUACCCGCAGAAGAAGCACCGGCUAACUCCGUGCCAGCAGCCGCGGUAAUACGGAGGGUGCAAGCGUUAAUCGGAAUUACUGGGCGUAAAGCGCACGCAGGCGGUUUGUUAAGUCAGAUGUGAAAUCCCCGUGCUCAACCUGGGAACUGCAUCUGAUACUGGCAAGCUUGAGUCUCGUAGAGGGGGAUAGAAUUCCAGGUGUAGCGGUGAAAUGCGUAGAGAUCUGGAGGAAUACCGGUGGCGAAGGCGGCCCCCUGGACGAAGACUGACGCUCAGGUGCGAAAGCGUGGGGAGCAAACAGG
rnacentral:rRNA from 1 species